UACGGGGAGCAAGCGUUGUUCGGAUUUACUGGGCGUAAAGGGCGCGUAGGCGGCCUGUGCAAGUCAGUUGUGAAAUCUCCGAGCUUAACUCGGAACGGUCAACUGAUACUGCUCGGCUAGAGUGCGGAAGGGGCAACUGGAAUUCUUGGUGUAGACGGUGAAAUGCGUAGAUAUCAAAGAGGAACACCUGCGGCGAAGGCGGGUUGCUGGGCCGACACUGACGCUGAUGCGCGAAAGCUAGGGAGCGAACGGG
rnacentral:rRNA from 1 species